UACGGGGGGGGCAAGCGUUGUUCGGAAUUACUGGGCGUAAAGGGCGCGUAGGCGGUGCUCUAAGUCGGAUGUGAAAACUCUGGGCUCAACCCAGAGCCUGCAUCCGAAACUGGAGUGCUAGAGUUCUGGAGGGGGUAGCGGAAUUCCUGGUGUAGCGGUGAAAUGCGUAGAUAUCGAGAGGAACACCAGUGGCGAAGGCGAGUCUCUGGACAUUUCCUGACGCUGAGGCACGAAAGCCAGGGGAGCAAACGGG
rnacentral:rRNA from 1 species